rnacentral:rRNA from 1 species
UACGGGGGGGGGCAAGCGUUGUUCGGAAUUACUGGGCGUAAAGGGCUCGUAGGCGGCCAACUAAGUCAGACGUGAAAUCCCUCGGCUUAACCGGGGAACUGCGUCUGAUACUGGCGAGCUUGAGUGCAGGAGAGGAACGCGGAAUUCCAGGUGUAGCGGUGAAAUGCGUAGAUAUCUGGAGGAACACCGGUGGCGAAGGCGGCGUUCUGGACUGCAACUGACACUGAAAAAACGAAAAGCCAGGGGAGCAAACGGG